GUUUGGGGGUGUGUAGUGAUGAACUCUGAAGCUACAUGAAGUUUGGAGGUGUGUAGUGAUGAACUCUGAAGCUACAUGAAGUUUGGAGGUGUGUAGUGAUGAACUCUGAAGCUACAUGAAGUUUAGAGGUGUGUAGUGAUGAACUCUGAAGCUACAUGAAGUUUGGAGGUGUGUAGUGAUGAACUCUGAAGCUACAUGAAGUUUGGAGGUGUGUAGUGAUGAUCUAAUCUGAAGCUACAUGAAGUUUGGAGGUGUGUAGUGAUGAUCUAAUCUGAAGCUACAUGAAGUUUGGAGGUGUGUAGUGAUGAUCUAAUCUGAAGCUACAUGAAGUUUGGAGGUGUGUAGUGAUGAUCUAAUCUGAAGCUACAUGAAGUUUGGAGGUAUGUAGUGAUGAUCUAAUCUGAGGCUACAUGAAGUUUGGAGGUGUGUAGUGAUGAACUAAUCUGAAGCUACAUGAAGUUUGGAGGUGUGUAGUGAUGAACUAAUCUGAGGCUACAUGAAGUUUGGAGGUGUGUAGUGAUGAACUAAUCUGAAGCUACAUGAAGUUUGGAGGUGUGUAGUGAUGAACUCUGAAACUACAUGAAGUUUGGAGGUGUGUAGUGAUGAACUCUGAGAUAUCAAUGCACAGUAGAAUAGUGCACCACCUCUUACUAAUUCCUCACUAAUACAUACUCUACGCAGAAAUGGUGAUGUAUUAUAAUAUUGAAAAACAAGAAGAACUAUUAUUUUAAAGAGUGAACUUGACUGGAAGGAAAAGUACUAUGACUAAAUUAUUAAGUACCGAGGAAAGUCCAAACACACAAUCACUGUUUUAACUCUCGAUAUCUGGAAGUAAUCACUGCCCACUUCCAGCCUCUGGGCUGCACUGGACUCACAGCUCAGGGUCUGUUUAUGCCGGACCACCCUUUAAUCCCACUGCACUCACCUGACCCGCCAAUCAAAACCCUGACAGCACCCAAAGGCUUGGAGGAGAUCGGCUUUCACACACGCAGAGGCAUGCAGGACAAAGCAGAAAACACAACACUCACACACUGCUGCUGAAAAGAUGUUGUGUAAAACAUACAGGGCUGUAGGGUGUGUGUGUGUGUGUGUGUUGUGUGUUUUGUGUGUGUGUUGU